rnacentral:rRNA from 1 species
GGCUGAAAUUCGCCUUUAUGAAGCCGGAAUUGCUAGUAAUGGCAGGUCAGCAUACUGCCGUGAAUACGUUCCCGGGCCCUUGUACACACCGCCCGUCACACCAUGAGAGUUGGGAGUACCCGAAGCCUGUGAGCUAACUUUUAGAGGCAGCAGUCGAAGGUAGAAUCAAUGAUUGGGGUGAAGUCGUAACAAGGUAUC